rnacentral:rRNA from 1 species
UGGAUAACAGGUUGAUAUUCCUGUACCACCUAUAAUCGUUUUAAUCGAUGGGGGGACGCAGUAGGAUAGGCGAAGCGUGCGAUUGGAUUGCACGUCUAAGCAGUAAGGCUGAGUAUUAGGCAAAUCCGGUACUCGUUAAGGCUGAGCUGUGAUGGGGAGAAGACAUUGUGUCUUCGAGUCGUUGAUUUCACACUGCCGAGAAAAGCCUCUAGAUAGAAAAUAGGUGCCCGUACCGCAAACCGACACAGGUAGUCAAGAUGAGAAUUCUAAGGUGAGCGAGCGAACUCUCGUUAAGGAACUCGGCAAAAUGACCCCGUAACUUCGGGAGAAGGGGUGCUCUUUAGGGUUAACGCCCAGAAGAGCCGCAGUGAAUAGGCCCAAGCGACUGUUUAUCAAAAACACAGGUCUCUGCUAAACCGUAAGGUGAUGUAUAGGGGCUGACGCCUGCCCGGUGCUGGAAGGUUAAGAGGAGUGGUUAGCUUCUGCGAAGCUACGAAUCGAAGCCCCAGUAAACGGCGGCCGUAACUAUAACGGUCCUAAGGUAGCGAAAUUCCUUGUCGGGUAAGUUCCGACCCGCACGAAAGGCGUAACGAUUUGGGCACUGUCUCAACGAGAGACUCGGUGAAAUCAUAGUACCUGUGAAGAUGCAGGUUACCCGCGACAGGACGGAAAGACCCCGUGGAGCUUUACUGUAGCCUGAUAUUGAAAUUCGGCACAGCUUGUACAGGAUAGGUAGGAGCCUUUGAAACGUGAGCGCUAGCUUACGUGGAGGCGCUGGUGGGAUACUACCCUAGCUGUGUUGGCUUUCUAACCCGCACCACUUAUCGUGGUGGGAGACAGUGUCAGGCGGGCAGUUUGACUGGGGCGGUCGCCUCCUAAAAGG